AUUGAACGCUGGCGGCAUGCUUUACACAUGCAAGUCGAACGGUAACAGGCCGCAAGGUGCUGACGAGUGGCGAACGGGUGAGUAAUGCAUCGGAACGUGCCCAGUCGUGGGGGAUAACGCAGCGAAAGCUGCGCUAAUACCGCAUACGAUCUAUGGAUGAAAGCGGGGGACCGUAAGGCCUCGCGCGAUUGGAGCGGCCGAUGUCAGAUUAGGUAGUUGGUGGGGUAAAGGCUCACCAAGCCAACGAUCUGUAGCUGGUCUGAGAGGACGAACAGCCACAGUGGGACUGAGACACGGCCCAGACUCCGACGGGAGGCAGCAGUGGGGAAUUUUGGACAAUGGGCGCAAGCCUGAUCCAGCAAUGCCGCGUGCAGGAAGAAGGCCUUCGGGUUGUAAACUGCUUUUGUACGGAACGAAACGGUCCUGGUUAAUACCUGGGGCUAAUGACGGUACCGUAAGAAUAAGCACCGGCUAACUACGUGCCAGCAGCCGCGGUAAAAC
rnacentral:rRNA from 1 species